CGAACCGAACCGAACCGAACCGCACCGAACCGCACCGAACCGCAGCGCAACGCGCGGUCACCCCGUGCAGAGCGGAACAGAAAACGGGCCGCCCCACCCAGUGCCUCAAUGUCAAGCACGUCGGCGGCUGCUGGAAGUCAGGGGGGCGGGAAACAUCUGUGUGGAAAGGUCUCCAGUGCUUCCAGCAUCUCUCCAGCCACUGACCAGGAACAAGAACCAUGUUCCCCAGCACUCUCCCCAGGAUAAGCCCAUCCCUGGGACAUUAUGCUCAGACUGCCCUACAGAAGGAGGGAGAUGUCUCAGCAGUUCAGCUGGCACAAAUAGCUGUGACACUGUAAUCCUUGGUCAACUUUACUACACUCCUAGGAAAAGGAGCUCCCCUCAGCCUGGUGGGAAAACAUGACCAGCUCUUGCUACAGGCUCUUACACCAUUGGUGACUGUCACCAUUCCCUGUCCUCACCAGUCAUGCAGCACUAUCUGACUCCCUCUGCAGGUCUCAACCUCUUCAGCAUCACAAGAUGAUGGGCAGGACAGGACACCUGGAAGUGUGCCACUCCUGGGCAAAGAGGUGCCCGAGGGUGGUGCAGGGCCCCCUGCUUUGUGCUCCUCUGCUCCCAUCAGCUGAGUCACAGAGAAAGGCAGACAGGAGAGUCAGGAUCUGGAGAUGGAGCUCUGUGGCCUCUCAAGUCCAUGUGACAGCUCUGUCCUUGCAAGGUGAGACCCUGGACAUCUGACACAUGGGGACUGGAGAACACUUCCAUCCAGUGCAUUCUCUGUGCUAGUUUGUGCCAAGGCCCAGGACACGAAGAUGAGGAUGUCUUUGACUUCUCACCCUUUUACAGGAAGUUCCCCAAGAUUGUGGUAACCAGUUCUCUUGCAUCAGUAUGGUGGGCACAGCUCAUCUUGGGGAAAAGCUCUCACGUUUCCACUUGUGUAUCCAAAUUCAAAAUGUUCAGUUUGAUUGCAUAAAUCAUUGUGUUUGUGAUGUGUGGGAACUCAGACAGCCCUGAAUAGGUUUUAAACUUAAUCCAGAUUGUUUCCAAGGUUAAUCCCAGUUCUAUUAAAGCUAAUUCAAAGUUUAGGUGAAAAUUCAUGGAUUACACACUAAGUAAAAAUAAGAUUAAAAUCUUCUAUGCUACUCAAUGCAUAUAGCCUAUGUCAGAGAAACAAAACCAAAACACUCUUCCUAAGUAAUAAC